GACGAACCGUGCGAACGUUAUUCGGAAUCACUGGGCUUAAAGCGCGUGUAGGCGGGACGGCACGUCGGUCGCUGAAAGCCCCCGGCUCAACCGGGGAACGGGCGCCGAUACGACCGGCCUGGAGGGACGUAGGGGGACCUGGAACUUCCGGUGGAGCGGUGAAAUGCGUUGAGAUCGGAAGGAACGCCCGUGGCGAAAGCGCUCUGCUAGGCCGCAACUGACACUCAUGGACGAAAGCUAGGGGAGCGAAUGGG
rnacentral:rRNA from 1 species